ACGCGUAAUUCAUCGCUCUGGACUUUGUUGUGUCCUUCCCUCAGCGAGGGAAGCUCUCUCCCAGGAAGCACCUGGGUCGAACACCAAGAGCGCCAGCAGGUAACACCCCGUCUCCAGCUGACACCGCCGUUUAGGAAAUUAAAAAAUAAUAAAAAAUAAAAAUAAAUAAGGGAGAAGGAGCAGCGUUGUCUCCGGCUGCACAGCGGCCGGGGGAAGGGACGUGCUGCCCUCCCGCCCGCCUCUCCGGCAGCAGCCGAAGGGGGCCGCCCGCGCCUGCACCCGCUGCGCUCUGCGCCCGCCCGCCCCGCAGCCGAGGGCGGGAGGGGGCCCGGUACGGGGGGGGGGCGCUCGGGGCCGGGCCGGGGGUCGCGGUACCGCGGUGUCGGGGCGCGGCGCGGCCCCGUAUGUAGGAGCGGCGGCGUGCGGUUCCUGUAUCUGCACCAGGAUGGCCGAGUGGUUAAGGCGUUGGACUUAAGAUCCAAUGGACGUAUGUCCGCGUGGGUUCGAACCCCACUCCUGGGUAGUGCCACCGUAUUCCAGCCUGUUGAAAGUGUGAGAUGUACAAAUUAAGCCUAGACUGGCACACUGUAAAAUAUUAGUGUUUGUCAGAGUGCCCUCCUCAAAUUAAUACAGGUAAAUAUUGUUGUUCUCAGCCACUGUUCCCUAUAAUUUGAGUGGAAAAAAACAAUUCUAAACUGCCUUCAGUGCAACAUGGACUGCAACACAAAAUACUUCCGACAGGCUAUUUCAUUACGUGGUACGUGUGAUUAUUUGGUGUCACAAAUGUGGACAAGAUAUAAACACGGAAAUACAAAAGUCAAGAGGAAAUUAUGGAGAGAAGUGUGGUCUGGUGGUGAAUUUCUAGGAGAUGCAGGUGCACAUACUGUUUUUGGACUAUUCCCACAGUUAAAUCGUAAAUGCAAAACUGCACUUUCUAGAACUGUUCAUUAAAAAGCUGUACUGACAGGUUCAAGUGUUUUAUUAAGUAAACAUUCAUUCCUAUUAUUCAUUAAGGUACAAAUUAGUAAAAACGGGUGCAUAUUUGAUUGUACAUUUUACCUGUAAUAUUGUAAUGGAAAAAAAGCUGCCCUUGGAAACCCACAUCUUUGCAUACAAAUUGGGUAAUACUGCCUGUGUGCUUAUUUAAAAGCUCAUUUCUACAGACAAAAAAAGGUUCGUGUUGAUUUUGUGGAUGCAGUGCUGAUCUUGAAAAGUUGGUCCCAGCUACAUCAGUUAUGGGAUGAAUUGCUGGCAGUUAAUCAGCAUUGUAAGGAAGAAAAAAAAAAGUAAAAAUAAUCACAUGUUUUUCAAGAACACUGAUUACUGACAAAAAAGCAGCCUUUCUGUUAAAGCUGUGUAGAAGACACAGAGUUCUUGCUUGGAAGUUUUUCUUAUACAGGCCCAGGCCUUCCCAUAAAAAAAAUCUUUUUCAGGGAACUUCUCUCAGUCCUUUGGUGAAAGAGUGUUCCCUGCUUUCUGUAGUGACUUGCUAGAGCACAUGCAGAUCUGGAAUGGAACACAAAAUUCUUGAACCUUUCCUACUCUUAUGAAAUAUCCAUAAAAAUCUGCUGGCAACAACUAUGUCCCAACCCCUUUCUUAAUUUCUCCAUAAAGAAGAGGAUGAUCUGCUGGGGUUUCUCUUUUAUGUGAAAUGACGGAAUGGUGUAAUGUGAAUAUGCCUUUGAGCUCUGGAGUUGACUGUAAUUUUCAUUUAAGAUGUUUACUUUAUCAAGCAGGUAGUUUUCUUUGUUCUUUAUUAGUUUCCCUGUUAAAAUCUCAUGAAUUAUUGGUUGUUGCAUUUGCAAUUUGACAGUCUUAUGUCACACAUCGUGCUCUGGCCUUCAGUCAGAAUGGGACUGCUUUCCAUUGUAUUCUAUUUUACAGAUGUCUUUUUCUAGAAAGGUAAUUAUCUAUAGGAUCCUUGCCUUAUUUUAUGAAGAAAUUGGACAAUAUAUAUAGUGACUAAUGCUAGAAACCAGAAUAAGAGGAGAGCUUCUUAUGAAGACAGUUCGAUGCUACUCUACAGGACCAGAUAUUUUGCUACUACAUGUUUGCUGUCUGAUGAGGAGCCAGGAAAUAAAAACAGAUUUUUCAGAAGCAAUCACUCAUUUUCAUGUUCCUCAUUUCAUAGUAUCUAUCUUGAGAACCUCAGACUUGAUUUGCAGAAAUGCAGAACUUUUGUGAAUACAGGUGAAAUUAAUAUAUCACCAGUAUUUUAAGCAUUCUCUUAAAAAUUUCAUGUUACAUGUUUCUGGAUGAACAGUCAAAGUUACUGGAGAUAUUUGACACUAAUCUUCCCAUACCUCAAUUUCCCAUUUCAUAAAAUAGAGAUAAUAGAAAUGCACCAUUUGCAAAAUGGGUUGCUAUGAAGUAAGUUCUUUUUAUUAUUAUUUUUUUGUGUGUGGAGAAUUCUGGUAGACACUUAAGUAAUCUACUCAUGUUAGACAAGCCCAUGAAUGGAACAUGAAUGAAUUCAGAAAAUACUGUGAAAUAAGUAAAUUUUGGAGCCACACUUUGAGGUGUGAAAAUCUGGUGAAGUAUCCAAAAACUGGUUAACCAGCAAGCACAACAUGACAUGUGCUGAACAAGGUGGGGGCCUUAUAGGAAAACUGCAAGCCAUAAUUUAAUUGAAAAUUGUGUCUCACUUCAUAAACAGAAGGGGACCAGAUGAAUAAUAUGGCAACCUGUUGGUGAGGUAGUACUGAGACCAUAAUUCAGUAUAAUUUAAAAAAUUAAAAAAAUUUUGAGCCGCUGUCACUUAUUUUGCAGCUAUGUUUUACAGUGUUGUAAAAGUGUGUCCUUUGUUACUUCAGUUUCCAUCAUUCCCAGUGACAAGUACCUCAAGAUGAGGAAAAGGGUGUAAAAAGGCUAUGAAGUUCUUGUUCUGCUGCAUAAUGCUGUAUUUAGGAUGAUAAAUUCUGAUUGUUAUGGCAGACUAAUUGAGAGUCUGUAAAGUCAGAUCAGUCUCUGAUGUUAGCAGGAGUAACUGCAUGUAAAGUACUUGGUAAUUCUGGAAUUGUUUACAUUUUGGGCCUGCAUGGUAAUAAACAAGUAAAUGGGGGGGAUACAUCUAUUUUUAUGGAUGUUCAAAAUGCCCUUGUGCUUAGCACAUUCCAUCAAAAUCUUUUGGCGUGCUUUAAGCCUAACCACUAUCACUGCCCUUGUCUGAAUAGUCUUGUUGGCAAAGAACUUCACCUACUUUACGUAUGGUUGUACACUUAGUUAAAGUCAUGCUAUCAUAUAAUGCUGUUGGUGCGCCUCCCACCUUAAUUUCUUUUACUCUUAUAUUGCUUCCUAUUUUCAUUUUUCUUGCCAUUACAGAAGGACAGCAUCUUCAGUAGACUCUGUUUCCUGGAUUCUUGUUGUUCCCAUAACACUGGUCCAAAGAUCGAUUGUGUCAGUGUUUAUAUGUGUCUUCAUACAGGUUUAUUUUCAACUAGCUGCCAUUGCUGCUCACCUCUGCACUGCCUCUGAUUUAUCUGCAGUUUCUUAGAGACAUUUCUAUUGGCCUUGAUAGCCAAAAAAACCAAGUGUCAUGAACGAUGUUAGCUAAUUCUGUCUCCUUUUUCAAGGCAUUACAACACAUACUCAAACAGAUCUUGCAACAUGUUGUUGUUUAACUAUUCUUCUUGGGUUUGAUGAGCAAAAAGAAGAGAUGUUCUGAUAGGCUACUUCAAUUCAAGCAGCAAGCUCUGGGGCAUCACCCUGCGAUGGCUGGGAAACUCGGCCACCAUGACCACAGCAUUGUUGGAACAGAACAAGGGUCUGCAUGUUACUGCAGUGCAAAGCCCAGCGAUUUAUUAAAGUACUGGUGGAGGUCAGUUUACUCACAUGACUGACAGAUCAGCUGGUCUAGCAGCUAGCUGCAGUGGAAAGAGGCCAAGAUGCUGUCUCCCCUCUGCCCUGGCAGUGCUGUGCCUUCACACUGCUUCCCUCGCUCUUCCAUUGCCAGGAGACAGGUAACAAACAAACCAAUUCAUUUCCCAUUGCUUCAGUCUAAAAUAUAUUGCUGAGAUUGCCUCCAAUUCCUCAUUUCUCCACAGAAAAAUUCUUAUAAUUAACAGAUUUCUGACAGGUUUUGGAUUCCUUAGCACAGACAACGCAGAUCAGCCAGCUGGCUUCAUUCGGCACAGAGUGGCAGCAGCUGGAUGGCCACCCUCGAGUUCAUCUGGUCUUGAUCCAGCUUGGAGCAGGGUCAGUUCAUUCAGGCCUGUAAGGGUCAUGCCCAUGUGGGUUUUGCGUAUCUCUAAGCAUGGAGACUUUCUGGGCAACCUGUGCUAGCGUUUGAUCACCCUCACAUUCAAAAAAGUAUUUUCUUACAUAUUAAAAAAAAUAGUAUUGUGUUUGAUGUAUUUUCUUGUUUUAAAGCUUAUCAUAAACUUACAGAUCCUUGAUCUGUCUGCUCAUAAACUUCAAGUGAUCAUAUGAUUUUUUAGUGCUUAGAUUUCUGUUCUUAAUCAUCCCAAGAUAAAAUGAAGGAGCUACACAUGCCACCGCAUGUACUGGGACUCCUACCGGAUGCAUUGGUUUGCUGCCACGUGCAUUUUACUGAUAGCUCUGUUGAGUGAAAACAAACAAACAAAAAAAAAAACACAUGACGAUCUAAGCAGGUGCUUAGUUUUAGAUACUGAAAGCCAUUCUUUGUGUUAUUUUGUCCACAUCAAGACCAAGGAAGUACAUUAUUUUGUUGAUAAAUAUGUACAAUUAGUUUCCUAUCAGAAAUGAGCACUCUUGUCUGGCUUUACCUUAUUAUUGGAAGCCAGAGGCCUGUUAGAACAUUACUUAUCAGAAGACCAGUAUCACGAUUCAGGUUCAUCCUCUGCAAGGUUAGAGUACUGUAAUUUGGUCUGAGUUCUCCUUUAAAGUGAUCUGGCAGCUGUAGCAUUAACAAAUGAUGUCUGUCCACUAAGCUGAGGGAAUGCGAUGCGACUGAUGGCUCUCACCUUCAUCACAUGCUAUUUUUUAUUACUAUAUUCAGAACACAAAUGAUUGAUUUACGUACUGCAACUUCCAUCUCUUAUCAUAGUAUGUUGGAUUAUUUUUGGUGGUUUUGCAGGUUGCUUUGCUCUGAGAACAGCUGAUUUCUUGACCAAACAUAGCUUUAUUUUUUAUGUAUCUGGCUUGAUAGCCAUGGCUUCCACGAUGUGUAUUUUGACAGCACUGUGACACUGCAGGAUAUAUCUAUGGCAGUUAACAAAUCCUAUAGUGUUCUGCAACUGCAAACAAACUGAGACAUGCCCAACCUGUUGUACUGCAUUCAUGCCGGUGACCUGCCCCAAAACAUACUUGACACAUCGGUAAAGAAGAGAUACUGGAAACAACUGAAUUCAGUUCUUGUGAUGUCUCUGCCUGUCCACCUCCCCACCCCCACCCUUGAACAAAAUAUUUUCUACAGAAAGGAAUGAUUGGGUAGAAUAAGAAGUUUGUGGUGUGAAUGCACGAGCCACGUUUCUUUCAGAAGAUAAAGCAGUUCAUGACUUCCAAUGUAUAAUACAGAGAAACACCGGGCGUAAGAUGAAGCUGUUGCUUUGUAUGAAAUUAACAGGGAGAGAGCUCAGCCAUUGACACAUGAACUGCAUGACAAAGAAGAUACAGUAUCCAGAUGAAAUAUUAGUAAACUCAAGAGUGUUGGGAAAUAUGAGACAAGAAUGGGGUGGAUUUGAGCAUCUCAGACUUGUAGCCAACUUUUGCUUCUAGAGCAUUUUAUUGUGGUUAGAAGAUCUUCUCUUAUGCCAGUUUCAGUUACUUUUCUGGUAAGUUGUCUGAAGGAGGGAUUUAAGCAGAGUUACGAGCACUCCUAUUUUAGGUUGGGCUCUGCAUAGAAUGUGUAAGAGAUCUUAACGUUCGUGGAGGUAAGCCAAAAGGAUCACCCAAAAGGAUCUUCUAUCAGUUCUGUUGAGCCAGAGUUAGAGGCAGCGCCUCGCAUUCAUCUGAAAGUCCGUAACAAACUUGUCUUCAUAACCACAAAUGAGGCGGGAUUAUAAUGUUAAAUAUCUCAUAAUGUUGUUUUAUUUUUUUAACCAGAAAUAUUAUAUCAAGACCUUAACUGUCUGACUGGGAUGUGUGUAUUUUGCAAUGUGCAUUGUUUCCUUUUAUGUACUGUUUGUCAUCAGCAGUGUUGGCAUUACUGGUUCCCAGGUAGAAAGUAUAUUUUGAUAUGAUUAAAGCAUUCAACUUGCUUUGCAA